rnacentral:lncRNA from 1 species
UUGGGGUGUGAGGUAGGGGUGUCUGCAUGUCCAGAGGUGUCCCCAGGACACGCAGGGUAGCUCCAGGACUGAUGUGAGGCCCCAUAUACAAUGUGCAUGUGUCCCUGAGCUUGUCCUUCUCCUCAUUCCUUCAUCUCACCGCUGUUAGCAUCACAAUCUCUGAGUGCCAAGGCCCAGGUAGAGGCCCCCAGUGCCCAACAUGGGUACAAGGGAUGAGGGUUACCCGUGUAGGAGAACAUACUUCUCCUUCUUGGGGUCUCCACCCUGUUCAUCCAUCCCAGCUGUGUCCCCCGGGGGUGGAGAAGGUGGGGAGGGCUGCGGCCGUGGCUGGAGCUGGGUGCAGAGCGGGGCUCCCUGCUCAGCUGCCCUGUCUGCCUGCCCCUGCCAGGCUGCAGUACGAGGACGAGGUGCUGAGGAAGACGACGCCGGCAGCACCCAGGCCUCCAGCACAGGGUGAGUGUCGGCAUCGUCCCUGUCCUGGGGUCCUGAGCCUGCUCGGGGGGGUGGUGGCAGGCAGGAGAAGGAGCUGGGACUUGCAGCAGUCCAAAACCCCUCCACACGGUUCCCUGAGUUUAGAUAACCCUUUCCCAGCCGGUCCCCUCUGGGUGGCUGUCGUGGUCUUGCCCUUGUGCCCCCCCGAUGUCCCCUCCUGUCCUUCUCCUAGGCUGUGACCUCCCUUUCCCUUCGGAGAGGCUGCAGCAGAGGCCGAGCAGGAGGCGAGGAGCCACCUCUGGGCAUCUCCCAGCGUCAGGGCAGCACCGUCUGCCCCAGGAGGUAACGGGGACGGUGUGGGGCAGAGGAGGUGAAGCUCGGGGGCUCCAGAGGGAUGGGAUUGUGUGCACAGGCUGGGGACGGUCCCUGCAGCCCUCACAUUUACGUGGGAGAGGUUUUCCGUGGGCACUGCCCGAGGCUGAGCUGCGGCUCUCUGCUCCUCUCACCCAGCCGUCCUCAGAACAGCAGCGGGGCGACAGCGGCGUCCCCAGCACUUCUUCCACCCCGGCCAUCACCUUCCUCAUCCAGGAGGCUCUGAUCUCCGGGGGCCUUGAGGCUCUGGCCCGGGACCCGUCCUUCGUGGCGAUGACCAGGGCCGAGAUGGCAGCCAGCAGCCAGCUGGAGAUGGAUGAAGUGGAGGAGGCGGCUGUGGAGCUGCUGAAGGGAAGAGAAGCACCGCGGGAUGCCGGUUCUGUCCCCUGGGACACCUCGGCUGCGUCACCAGCCGGCUCCCCGGGGCUCCGUGCAGCCGCCUCCCAAAAAUCCAGCCCUGCUGCUCACCCGUGAGCCGCCUGCCACUGCGGCCCCCUGGGCACAGCCCCUUUCAGGACCCUGUGGGGGCUACCAGAGCAAUAACAGGCAUCUCGCCACCUUUCUGGGGCUGUGGCUUUGGGAUGCUGGUGACGGGACAGGAUAAUGCUGUGCCAGAAGGGUCUGGGAAGAGCUGGAUGGGUCAUUAAAGUGUCCCUGCUGUGUGAGUCCCUGCGUUCCUCGUCCCCUCCUUCCUCUGCCAGCCCCACUGCACAGCUCAGGGCUGCUGACUGCAAAUUGGGGCAGCAGCCGGAUUUAUUUCUCUCCAGAAAGGGGUCUGCCCCGGGGCUUGGUUUUACAGACUUCUGGUGCCCCAGGAGGAAUUUGGGUGCCAGGCACUGGGGCAGCCCCGUCUCCCUCGGGCAUCUGUAGGGUUCUUGCUUCAGAGGGUCUCCAGCCCCUCCAAAGUGGGUGAUUCAGGGCUUUUCCUUGCCUAAUAUAUAUUAAAAUGCAGCAAACCGAUAGGUCCCAGGAGAGGUAUUGAAUCAAUAGCGCUUGUCUGCGCUCCAGCAGGGCAUUUUGUUAACUUAAUAAAAGGGAAACGGCUGUUGCUGAGCUCCA